CAUAUACUCCCUCCGUCCAACAAAGGAUGUCUCAACUUUGACCAAAUUUGAAUGCAUAUCUAUACACUAAGUCAUGUCUAGAUACAUGACAAACUUGAGACAUCUUUUGUUGGACGGAGGAAGUAGCUU
rfam:Brachypodium distachyon strain Bd21 chromosome 2, whole genome shotgun sequence.